rnacentral:lncRNA from 10 species
AAUCAGCGAGACUCCGUGGGCGUAGGACCCUCUGAACCAGGUGCAGGAUAUAAUCUCGUGGUGGGUGGUUUUUUAAGCCAGUCCGAAAAGCGCAAUAUUCGGGUGGGAGUGACCCGAUUUUCCAGGUGCCGUCUGUCACCCCUUUCUUUGACUGGGAAAGGGAACUCCCUGACCCUUUGCGCUUCCCAAGUGAGGCAAUGCCUCGCCCUGCUUCGGCUGGCGCACAGUGCACGCACCCACUGACCCGCGCCCACUGUCUGGCACUCCCGAGGGAAUUACUGAGCUAAAAGAUGGUUCAUAUAUAUAUUUUUCCUUAUGUCCAAUAGGUUUAGCCAAUACAAAUGUUUCCGAUGUGAAAUAGAGAAUAUGGACUCCAUUUUAUAUGCUAGUAAUGUUCACAAAGUUUUUAAA